GAACCACCCAGGCGCCCCCAGAAAUAAUAUUUUACAUAAUCUUGAAAAGGCACUCAAUACCCAUUGAAUGAUUUCAGAACUCAACAAAUUAUGAAUAGCAGGGCAUUUCCUCAUUUAGAUAAUGAUACCUGCAAAACAAAACCGUAGAUUUAUAAAAACAUUACACUUAAUGCUGAAUUACUGAAAGCUUUUUUUUUUUAAGGAGCAUUAAUGAGACAAGCAUGCCAUUAUCACUCUUCUAUUCAACACUGUCCUGGAGUUCCUGGCCACUGCAGUAAGAGAGAAGAAACGAGUAAAUAAGCCAGCAGGAAGAGCUGAGACAGGUGCCACAUCCAUACCCAUGAAAUACUGAUGAUCACAAAAACCAACUGAUUUAAAGUUCUUCUAUCCAAAUCAAGUAUCAAACUAUAACAUUCAAUAACAGCUUUGCAUUAAGGUAUAUUUUAGAAUUCUGUUAUGGUACAGACCUACUUAGUAUGAUUUAUUUAAAUAAGUUAACAUUCAUCUUGAAAAGUAAAUUCAACUUUAACUUCUGAAAUUCAAAUCAGCUCUUCCACAUUCCAUUGUCAUUUAUGUGAUAACAAAUCUAAUUUGCAAUCUUUGGUAGCACACCUAAACUUUGGUCUCAGUUUAAAGAAAUACAAUGGUCAAUCUGCAGAAAUAACCAGAUAAAUAUCUCUCCCUAAACAAAGAACAGUUCUACUAAAGGAAUUCUAAGGCCAGUUCAGCAAAAGUACCAUUCUUGCCAUUAAGUAAUAUGAUUAGUAGGACACACUGACUAAUGGGUAUGAAUCCCUCACAGUGGCUGAAAACAAACAGUAAUGAUCAAAAACAGAAUGCUAAAUGGUACUAUGGUUCUUUUCCUACAUUUUUGUUCAUCCUGUUCACAAAUACUCUUUCCAAACCUAAUUAUUCUAGGAACUUGUUUCUUAACACUUUAACUCAAAGUCCAAUUUAGAUCAAAUCAAAUGAAAAUAAAUACUGGAAACUAUUUCCCAAAAGAAUAUGUUAAUCAGUUUUAGGUAAGUAAGCUACUUAAUAAUAAAAGGCUCUACCAUUUAAAUAUUUUAA